GAGAGGAAAAAUGAUGAUGAAUAAAACACUCUCCUUGAUCUGCUGAAAUUUCAGUCUAUUGAAAGAGGCAGAAAAUUAAAAAAGAAGUUACACUGAAGCAAGUUGAAUAAGUCUGAGAAUAGAAGAAGUCCAGGGUUGCUAUGAAAAUUCAAAGAAAAUAUAUAUAACUAAAGCAUGGUAAUAUAAGAAAGACUUACUGUAGAACUGAUGACUAAGCUGAGACCCAAAUGAUUAUAUGAUUUAACAAGAUAAAGUUUGGACACCUUUUUUUUUUUUUUUAAUUCCAGCCAGAGGACAAAGAUCCUGCAAAAUCCUAUUGUUCCAGAAACCUAUGGAGAAAGCGCAUGGAGAUAAUUAGUUCUACUUCCAGAGAGGGUAAACAUAUCACAAAUGGUCUUACCCUGUCACCCAGGCUGGAGUGCAGUGGCAUGGUCAUAGAUCACUGCAGCCUCAAACUCCUGUGCACCAGUGAUCCUCCUGCUUCAGCCUCCAGAGAAGCUGAGAUAGUUUGACAGAUUUAAUGAAGUAACUAACAGGAUAAAUGAUUCAUUCAAGGCAACUGAACAGCUGAAAAAAAAAUUGUUUUUAUUAAACAUUGUUGCUUCUGAUAGCUCCAACUUUGUGUCCUUUCCUGAAGGAAAAUAUACCCAUUAAGUGAUAAAUCUUGAGAUAAGAAAAGAAAAAGCUAAAAUCCAGCAUUACAGGUUUUUUUCAUGUCUAACAUCCAUGGUUCCACCUGGACCUGCCAACCCCACUCUGUGGCCCCAACCAGAAAUGAUUCAGCCAGCAGGAGGACAGCUUCGUCUCCCACUGUACGGAUAGAGAUGAAACAUCCAAUUGCAGAUAUGAAUGACCUAAUUCAAUGGAUGAGUCUGGAAGAGGACCAAGUUCAUGGGAAAGAUCAAAAAUUCAGUUUUGAAGAUGUUGAUGAGAAGAUGAGACAAAACCAUGUAUAGAUGUGGAUGAGCUAAUUAAAUAUAUGAGUCUGGAGCUGAAAGGAAAUGCCUUGACAAGAGAAGUAAAUUUGAGGACCAUCAAUAUACAGAUGUGCUUGAAUCCAUCUGUGUAAAUGGAAUCACCCUGGGAGGAAAUUUAGAGUGAGAACAGGACUGUGUGGAAAGACAUUAAAGAAGUUAAAGAAAGAAGAACUAAAAAAGGCAGGAGAGAAGAAGAGGAUGGAGAGGUAGGAGAGAAACCAGUAAUGUGCGAUGGCAUAGAAAUUAAGGUAUGAGUAUUUCAAGAACAAGAUAUUAAUGGUAUUGAAUACUACUGAAAGGCCAAUCAUGAUGAGAAUAGAAAAACUGCUGAUUUCACUAUUUGGCAGUGGGUUCACUGACUUCCUCAUCUGCAAUGACUUCUCUUGAUCUCACCUCCACCGUCUACUCCAAGGGCCACCUUAGAUCUUAGGAUCUAAUUCACUCCUGUGCCCAAAUCACUUUUCUAAAGUGAUUUGUAUUUUCAGGUUACAUGUUCAACUAUUUUUAGCACAGCCAUUGUAACAUAUAAUCGUGGUUGUCUGUUAUGUGUCCAUUUAUUACUAUCUUCUG